rnacentral:rRNA from 1 species
CCAAGGAGUCUAACAUGUGMGCAAGCCAUUGGGUCUUGCAUAGGCCCACAGGCGAAAUGAAAGUGAAGGUUUGGCCUAGUGUCAUUCCGAGCUGGGAUCUCGAACCCCGCGGGGUCGGGCGCACCAGCGGCCCGUUUCGGCCGCUUCGUCGGCGAAUCGGAGCURGAGCGUACACGUUGGUACCCGAAAGAUGGUGAACUAUGCCUGGGCAGGACGAAGCCAGAGGAAACUCUGGUGGAGGUCCGCAGCGAUUCUGACGUGCAAAUCGAUCGUCAGACCUGGGUAUAGGGGCGAAAGACUAAUCGAACCAUCUA